rnacentral:lncRNA from 1 species
AGCUGGGGUGCCGCCUCCUCGCGAAGCAGUCACUUGAACGGCGGGCUAGAAAAAACCGGAGGGGAAAGCUGCGGGAGGCGACAGCAGGGGCGAGAGAGGACGUAGCAUCCACACCCUACGCAAGCGCGUCGUAGUCACAUGACAAGGGGCGGUGCCCGUGUGGGCGGGAGCGAAGUCACGGCUAGGGUCGAGGUUGCUACGGCGGACCAGCGGUGGCAACGGUAGUAUGGCCGCGCUUUAUGGUGGCGUGGAAGGGUGAGCGCUGGAUCGGCCGAAGGCUGUCCGUCCGGGAGCGGCGGGUCAGGGGGCGGCGGCCCACACCAUGCCCGGUGCCUUUGUGCUCCACGGUGCGACCACGCCCCUCCCGGCCAUCACCUUUCUGCCACAGGGCUCUUGUGUCAACCUGGAGAGUUGUGCAGAGCUGGGGGGUCAGGUGGGAAGUUGCCGGUCGCGGGUGGACGUGGGAAAGAGGCAGAAGCUGAGACUGAGAUUCAUGCACAAGGGAACCCGGGAGUUAAGCAGCUGUCACCAGAGCACUGUCUUAUCUUGGUGCUCCGGACCCUCCACUGCUGUCGGCCCCGAACGCCCUUGGUUCCUAUAUUCUCCUGCUUAGAAGCUGGUCUGCUUGACUUUGGGAAGUAGCUCUACUAAGCAUGGCUUUGGGUGAGACGUAAGGCAAGGACAAGAGUGAGCAAGAUGGUGGUUUAUCCGGUCCCCUGCGCGUGACAAGCAUUUUGUGGAACUGGGUGUGUCAAAUCAGGACCUGAUAGGAAGAUUUGGUAUCCUAGCUGCUUGCUGCUGAUUUACCCGGAAGUCUCUUCCCGUGAAUUGCGAAAGCGGAUGACCCCUGGCUUUAUUUAUGAUACCUUACAAGGAAAAACCCUCAGCACAGCGUAGGAGUUUGCACUUAGCCUUGUUAUAUUCAUAUGGAAGGUAGAACUUAUUUUUCCCAGUUUGUCAAGAAAUUAAUUUGGAUUUUUAAUCUACUGUCUCAUGCAUUAAUAUCCCUUCGGAUGUACUCUUGAUGUACUACUCUUUGAGUUGGAUCGAGUCUUUAUUGUCUAUUACAAGAAGUAUUGGUCAGAGCCGGGCGGUGGUGGCGCACGCCUUUAAUCCCAGCACUUGGGAGGCAGAGGCAGGCAGAUUUCUGAGUUCGAGGACAGCCUGGUCUACACAGUGAGUUCCAGGACAGCCAGGGCUACACAGAAAAACCCUGUCUUGAAAAACAAAAAAACAAAACAAAACAAAACAACAACAACAAAAAGUAUUGGUCAGUAGGACAUCCUCCUACACGUAUCACCCUUCUUCUAAAGUACCACUUACCCCAGGGAUUUAACUCAGGAGGGCUUAGUUGCUGAAGGCAGUAUGAGUUUCUCCCUGACUGGUGAUAGUUUCUCACAGGUGUCUUGAAGACCCUGGUGUCAGAAGAUAGGUCCUCAAAGUAACCCUUAGCUGUUGUGAGAGGUCUGCUUAUUCCGUCCGACGUAUUUACCAUAAGUCGUUUGGGCCAUGCUCACGAUAGGUUAGGAGGAUAGGUCAUCACUCUGGAGCCAGUGGAGCUCAUGAGAAGCUAAACAAUGGAAUACACUCUUGAUUCAGAGCGGUCUUUGCUAGCUAGAGCUUAUUAAUGUAAGGAGAAGCCCUGCAUGAGACAGACUGUGAGUGGGACCUUGCAGAGGAAGUAGGACCUACCAGGCAAAAGGAGCAAAGCCUCCUUUUUCUUUCCAGAGUGUAGCAGGCACUAAACAGGUAGCUUUUGGAGUAGAGGUUGGGUUUGCUGAAGCUGUCUUUGCCCUAGACUUUUGUAAGAGACUACUAUGCAAGCAUGGCUCUCCGCGUGGAAUUCAAUCAGGACUGAGUGCCCUCUUGUGUUUUGUAGGGGAGGCACACGGUCCAAAGUCCUUUUACUUUCUGAGGAUGGGCAGAUCCUGGCAGAAGCAGAUGGACUGAGCACAAACCACUGGGU